rnacentral:rRNA from 1 species
UACGUAGGGUGCAAGCGUUAAUCGGAAUUAUUGGGCGUAAAGAGCUCGUAGGCGGUUUGUCGCGUCUGCUGUGAAAAUCCGGGGCUCAACCCCGGACUUGCAGUGGGUACGGGCAGACUAGAGUGUGGUAGGGGAGACUGGAAUUCCUGGUGUAGCGGUGAAAUGCGCAGAUAUCAGGAGGAACACCGAUGGCGAAGGCAGGUCUCUGGGCCACUACUGACGCUGAGAAGCGAAAGCAUGGGGAGCGAACAGG